GAAGCUGUACCUGACAAAAGGAUUAUUUUGAUAGAGUAAACAUAAGGGUUAAAAUCCCUUCAACUUCU
rnacentral:tRNA from 2 species